rnacentral:rRNA from 1 species
UGAGGAAUAUUGGGCAAUGCUCGCAAGGGUGACCCAGCAACGCCGCGUGGAGGAUGAAUGUCGUAAGAUUGUAAACUCCUGUUAGAGGGGAAGAAUAGUACCGGUUGGACCGGUAUAUGACUGUACCCUCAGAGAAAGCCCCGGCUAACUACGUGCCAGCAGCCGCGGUAAUACGUAGGGGGCAAGCGUUGUCCGGAUUUACUGGGUGUAAAGGGUGCGCAGGCGGAUGGGUAAGUCAGGGGUGAAAGUCUGCAGCUUAACUGUAGAAUUGCCUUUGAUACUGCUCAUCUUGAGUGUGGGAGAGGUUGAUGGAAUUCCAGGUGUAGCAGUGAAAUGCGUAGAUAUCAAGAGGAACACCUGAGGCGAAGGCGGGUUGCUGGGCCGACACUGACGCUGAUGCGCGAAAGCCAGGGGAGCAAACG